UUCAGGCUUCCACGUUCUGGGAAGGAGACAAGACCAGAUCCUGCUCACCUUAGGGAGCUCUGAGUUCUUGGUUUGACCUCUGGGAGAUUCAGGCAGAGGAUUAAUUCAGAUGGCUCAAGGAAAUGGCAAAGAGCUCCUGUCUCUGCCCAGAAAACCCCAAAGCAGGGAAAGAAGAGUUACCAAAGCAAGAACAGGGAGCCUGGAGUCCCAGGGAAUGGCCUUGGAGAGGGACAGACUCCCAGCCCAGGUAAGUGCAUUCCAGCCCCAGAUCGGAUUCCCAUCAGCCACGGAGGCCCUCUCUGGGUCUGACACAAAAUGGGCUGGGAAGCUGCUUCCUCCUUCCUGUUGGACCAUUUUUAUACUUGUAUUGAAGGCAGGAGGAACAGCAUUUCCUGACAUUUCUCGGUGUUGGCCAAUGAUUCCUUGGUCCUUGGGCAUGAAUUUAGGUCAGGUCAGACCCCAAGAGCUCCCCCCAGGCGCUGCUUCCCUUGUUGGAUUUCUCCCCAUCACAAGUGAGUGCCAAGUACGACCGUUCACGCCUUCAUCUUUCCUGCCAAGGGAUGGAGUCUUUGCUCUCCCUCUGCUUGCCUGGCAACACACAGACACACGCGUGUGCACACACACACACACACACACCCUCUUCCUCUGUUUCUUUUCACCAACCUGUUUCCACUUGAGCCUUGUCUGGCCAGGCCUGGGCAGGCCUGGGUGUCCCAAGGUCUGUGCUGUCGUCCUCAGAGAGGAAAUUGUCCCCCUGGUGCUGCUCACUUGCUUCUGCCUCGAGUCCUCCGAGUCUUCCCAAGUCAGCCGAUCCGGAGGAACACCCCAGUCUGUGCUGGGUACUGCCUAGCCCAGCCGGGUGCUGCUGAGCACAAAGAAAAGGAAAACCAUCGGCCACCCCACCAACGUUCUGACCGGGGAGACCCGUCAGCAACUGUGUCCAAAGAACACUCUGCAGGUGUGGUGGAGGGAGGCAUUCUGGGAGGGAAGGCUGUAAGGGUUCUGGGACCACAGAAAUCAUUGGUUCCCAAGGGGAGGAUUUAGCUGGGACUUGAAGGAAGCUCAGGCCAGAGGGAGGAGGGUAAUCAUUCCCUGCAGAGAGACAGCCCCUGGAAAGGCCCAGAAUCGGGUCGUGGAAGGUCUUGGCCAAGGAUCAUCCUGGAGACCUGUGUCCCUGAGUCUGAGGAGGAGGAGGAAGGUGUGAGGAGAUGGGAAGGGGCUGGAAGGUCAUAUGCCAUUGGACCCUGUUGUGGGAAUGGUCGGGGUCCUUGGCAGUGAUAGCCAGAAUCGGGCCGCUGGGGGGAGCCCAGGAACGGCCCUCACACAGAAAAUGGGGCCUUUUUUUUUUUCAGAAGAGGAGCUUCGAGGGUUCAGCAGAGCUAUUUGUCCCAGACCCAGGAGCUGGGUAGAUGCCUUCUCUGGUCAGUAGAAUGCCUCACUAGUCUAGUCCUUCCCCUUGUUAAGACAGGCUGAAGAGAAAGAGGUUUCUGGAAGGCCUGGGAAUUUUCUUUGCAAAGAGGGUUAGAGAGGUCCUGAGGGAGACCUCCUGGCCUUGUCAAAAAGGCAUGUCGCCCGCUCGACAUCAAAGAGUGGGAGACAGACAGACUGGAGUUCUUCAUGCUCUUCUGAAAACCUGCUUUCAGCCAUUUAUAGAAUCACCCUCUGAGGUCAGUGUUCUUAUUUUCAUUAUUUCCCAGUUGAGGAAACGGAGGCAAACAGGUUAUGUGAACUUACAGUCAUGCAGCAUGUAAGGAUCUGGCAGGAUUGCAAAGCAGAUUUUUAGGAAUAUCCUUUUGUAACGACUAUCACUAUGUUUGUGAGCCUACCUCAAAAUCUCCAUUUAUACACCCCCCCCCCCAUGAUCCUGUGGGGAAACCAGUUUUCCCCAAAGGAUCAUGGAAACAUCUUCAACUUAAAGAUUGUAAUCAUGUGUGGAUAAAAGGGAAAGAGAAACCCCCGUGAUGACUAGGUUGACAAGAAGCCAAUUUGGGGGCAGUCCCCUUUGGGAUAAGCGUCUCUAUUCAAAACAAAGGCAUUUCAGCCCCUCAUAGUUCACUUUCCAUCCCUCUGGAUCUUCUGGUGCAGCAUGUGGUCUCUGCAGGCCUCCAUCUAAAUGGCACAUUCUGGAUCCUGGGAGGGAGCAAGUUUCUUAUCCUAAAAUUGCUUCAAUUUAAAUCCUAGUUCACAGCAAUAACUCCCCCCCCCCCCCCUGAAUAAUAACAAACAUGGGGAUCACUCAGGGAUGCAUGACUGAGUUAGGAGGUACAGGAAGCCAUUUGCAAAAGAAAAUCAAGAACAUGAAAAGAUCCAAAUAAAAGAGGAAAGUAACUUGUGAAUGAAAUACA
rnacentral:lncRNA from 1 species